UACGAAGGUGGCAAGCGUUGUUCGGAUUCACUGGGCGUACAGGGAGCGUAGGCGGUUAGGUAAGCCCUCCGGGAAAUCUCCGGGCCUAAACCGGAAAGUGCAGAGGGGACUGCUUGGCUAGAGGAUGGGAGAGGAGCGCGGAAUUCCCGGUGUAGCGGUGAAAUGCGUAGAGAUCGGGAGGAAGGCCGGUGGCGAAGGCGGCGCUCUGGAACAUUUCUUACGCUGAGGCUCGAAAGCGUGGGGAGCAAACAGG
rnacentral:rRNA from 1 species